rnacentral:lncRNA from 1 species
UACAUCCACAUCUCUUUAUCUUUAGUCUCCCAACUAUAUUACCUGCUCCUCUUGCCCCCCUGAAAGCCAAACUCCACACCAUAGAGCAGGGUUGGCAAAUGUUUUCUUUAAAGGAUCAGAUAGCAAAUACUUGAGGCUUUGCAGGCCACGUGGUCUCUGUUGCAACUACUCAGGUCUGCUGCUGUAGACCGAAAGCAGCCACAGACUUAAGAUUUAAGAUGGGUAAGAUGCUUAAGCAAAUAGGUGUGGCUGUGUUUCAAUAAAACUUUAUUUACAGUAAUAGGUAUGUUUUGUGCUCAUCUCAGCCUAUCGAUAGUGAUGCUAUUGGCUAGAAAUGCCUGGGGCGAGAGAUCGAUCCAUUUAGGGGACCACUUGCCUGAAAGUAGUUUAAGGAGUCUCUCUUCAAGAAGGCCAUGAUCGUGCUCAAUGGGGCCAGCCACCUGGGGGCCGUAAGCCAGAUGGAAGUUCCAGAAAAUAUUCUGUUGGGGAGCCCACUGGUGAGUCUUGAGAAGUAAAUGAGUACCCUGGUCCAUCAGUACCCUGCUCUGUCAAUCCAAAGGGAACAAGAAUAAAUUCAUAAAGUAAGGAGAGAGAGUACCUCUUUUGAAGAGGAAUUCCAGGGGGGUCGCCAAGAGGAGUCCCCAUAUUGAUGAUUGUGACUGACAGCAUACCUGGAAGCUCCCACAGAAGGGCACAGUGGGCCAAGGGAAGCAAUCUGCCAGCAGGAGUGUGGUCGGUCUCCCUGGGAACUCUAUCCCCAUCUGGACAGCCUCUGGUGUUGGGUCUGGGAGCAGAGAAUGCACUGGUCUUUCCCUGCCUUGGCUGCCACAGAGGAGCCUCUCCCUUGAGCACAGGUUGUUGAGGCUUGAAUUUCCCCAAUGAUGGAGGUCGUGUGGGCCCAUUUAUGAGUUGGUGGGCAGGGUUGGGUCCUUGAGGCGCCUGCACUGGGCAUGGUGAGGGAGUCUGCAUUGUGAUUGAAAAAGGCUUCUGGUGUGGAGUGCUGUGAGCAGAAACAGGAGUGGCAAUGACAGGAAUUGAGGACCUCUGCUAAAUCCUUCCAUAUCUUGGCACCCGGAUGCACUAGCCUUGUAUGAGAAAAUUGUCCCCUAGCCACUGGCCAGACCAAACUGCAAGACCAUUAGCAACGGCCGAGGAGUCUGUGGACAUGUGGAUCUGCGAAAGGCCCCUUUUUAUGGCCUCCUUGAGGGCUGAGUGAGCAGCUACAAGUUCAUCAGUCGGGGUGAGCUUGGAGUGCCCUCUUAACCAGAGUUCCCUGAGGCGGGGUGGAAUGCCAGCCCUCCGGCGAGCUGCAUGGCCUACCAUGGUGGUGCUGCCAUCGGUGAAGAACACAGACUCCCUGUCCAUCUCGGACAAGUGGUCCCAAGGGGCUCCCCAAAUAACCAUGGGAGGAGGAAGCAGGGGUGCUGCUCUUACUUCCUCAAGGCUCUCGGGCAAGGGGCUGAGCGUGGGGGAAGCCACAUCCUCCUGUAAUUUGGAAAGGCCUUUGACAUCAGGGUUAGUCCUCUCCUGAAGGUACCACCUCCAUUUUACCAAGGAGGCAUCAGUGGCGUGCCAAGCUUCUGCUGGGAGGCAUCUCUAACCCAGGGCAUUAGAGGAACCUGCGCACAGAGUAUUGCCAGGUGGGGCUGGUUAGGGCAUCAGUUUCUAUAGGACGCCAAAAGCUAGCACUUAAAGGGAGCAUUUCAGGCUGCUGCUGGGGGUAGGCACUUAGUCCAAAACCCCAUAGGAAGCCACCCAAACUCAUGUUUGAUCCAGAGACUCCAGGAGGCAUAGUCGGGUGUGGCCAAGGACUCGACUUGGAGUGUGGAGCCAGGGAGGGACUACAGGGUGAAGAAUUUGUAAGAGAUGAGACAUAGCAGUGUUGCUUCCAGAACAUGAAGAGUCCUAGCAUGUGCUGUGCCUGUCUGAGUGUAGUGGGUGAUGGAAUGUUAUUGUUUUGCUCUGAUACUUUGCAAAAGUAUUUCAUCUUCAAGGAGAUUUCUGGAAAGGACUUUUGACAGAAUUACUAACAGCAAAGACUGCCCUUGAAUCUCCUUGGAAGAGACUAUACCAGUUCCUCCUCACUACUCAAAUGGCAGUCAGACUCCAGGCACUUGAGCCUUGAGCCUACAUUUUGCAGCUGACAAAGACUCCACCUGUACAAAUGCUGAAGACCUCUUAUCAAACGACUAGGAUGAGAUGCAGCUGACAUCGAGGUUGACCGCUUCCUCCCAAGACACUGGAUCAAGACUUCAUGCUUUAAACCUGAAAACCUUACCUCUUCCUUUCUUUCCUUUACUCUGACAUUGGCCUGGAAAGAACACCAUCAUCCAUAUCUCCCAGGCCAUUGCUAACGGAGGGUAACACUUCAGACUGCUAGACCUGUAAUCAAAAACUCUAAUCUAUAUGCGAGAGACCCCCUGGUCUGUUUCCCUGUCUCUGGUUAAGAGCUUCAAACUUGGGGAACUUUGUAUCCAGGCUCUAUGCAAAGAAAGGGACACAAGGCAAGGGUAAGCAGAAUAAAACUGCCUGUGUGGUCUACAGACCCUUACAUUACUGCCUCCAAGGCCUGAGCCACAGAUUCAAACAGGAGUUACCAGGAGGCAUUCAGGAUUCAGGAUUCGCUUCCACUAGCAGAACCCUACUGCCCUGGUUAGAAGUAAAUGUAAGUGAGGCUAUGAGGAGAAACCUCUCCUUAACUCUUGAAAGUAUUGCAGAAUCUGCUGCUAAAGCAAUAAGCUGCCUAACAAAAAUUCUUAGACUCUCUGGCCAAAGUUGUUCUUGACAACAGGAUAGCCCUUGAUUAUCUUUUAGCUGAGCAAGGAGGUGUCUGUGCUGUGGCCCGCACCACCAGCGGCACCUGGAUUAACACUCUGGGGAAGUCGAAAGUCAGUUACAUAAAAUCAUUUAAGCCACUCCGCUUAAAAAGGUGACUCCUUCAAAAGGGUGUUUCUGUGAUUUGUUUGAUUUUGAGUGGCUUGGGUCUUGGGGACCAUGACUCCAAAAUGCACUCCAAAUAUUGGGAAUUAUCCUACUUAUAAUAAUCAUAAUAACCUCCCUGGUGCAUUGUAUUCUCUCAAAAACUUUAAACACACGUUUUUAGACGUUAACCACCAAGCAAAUGAUCUCCCUAAGACUGGAACGUCAGAAAGGAACACAGAGAAUGACCAACUUGAAGAAUGUGAGCCUGAGGCCGUGACCUGUGAAUGCCGCACAGAGGAUCAGCAAAAACUGUGAGAACUUGAGAGCAGUAGCCGACACUGGUGUUAAUGCCGUAUAUUUUUAUCACAUCUCUCAAUUAAGCCGAGAGUCUGAUCAAAAAGGAGGGAAUGGUUAAAAAGUAACGUCAGGCACCAAAUGGAGUCACUCGUGCCAAGCUCACGUAACCAAACUUAGACUUAAUACCUAGUCUAAUUGUAGUUUCAACCUUCCCCAGGAGUGUAACCUUAACUGGUCAGUCUGGGAUUUCCUGGUCAGCACUAGUGUGAUAAUCUGCCUAAUAGAUGCCUUUUGUCCCCCACAGGAAGAUGACCUUGCUGGAAAUAAUCCUUCUUUUUGUUUAUGACUUCCUUGUCCCACCCCUUCCCUGCCUUUAAAAAUCUUUCUUUUUCUGUAGCUCUGUGGACCCCCUUUCUCCUUGCUAGGGGGGGUUGCUGCUCGACUCAUGGAUCAUUGAAUAAAGCCAAUUUCAUCUUCAAAUUUACUCAGCUGAAUUUUGUUUUUUUAACAGUUCUCUUUCACGACUCCCCAACUCUGUCACUGUCGCAUAGACCUUGCGGCUGUAGACAA